GGGCCGGUAGAUUAGUUCGGUAGAUCGUUUCGUUCGCAUCGAAAAGGUCGCGCGUUCAAAUCGAUAUGGGAAUCUCACAUAUCAGGAAAAUCGCGCCCGGUCCACCA
rnacentral:tRNA from 1 species